rnacentral:rRNA from 1 species
AUCUACGGCCGCGCCACCCUGAACAAGCCCAAUCCUGUCUGAUCUCGGAAGCUAAGCAGGGUCGGACAUGGUUAGUACUUGGAUGGGAGACCAGCGAGGAAGACCAGGUGCUAUAGGCU